rnacentral:rRNA from 1 species
GACGUAGGAGGCGAGCGUUGUCCGGAUUCAUUGGGCGUAAAGAGCACGCAGGCGGUUUGGCAAGCCGGAUGUGAAAACCCGAAGCUCAACUUCGGGCCUGCAUCCGAAACUGCCCGACUAGAGGUAGGUAGGGGAGAUCGGAAUUCCUGGUGUAGCGGUGAAAUGCGCAGAUAUCAGGAGGAACACCGGUGGCGAAGGCGGAUCUCUGGGCCUUACCUGACGCUCAGGUGCGAAAGCUAGGGGAGCGAACAGG